AUUAAAUAAAAUGAUUUGUCGGGGGCUCGCACAAGCGGUGGAGCAUGUGGUUUAAUUCGACGCAACGCGAAAAACCUUCCCUGUUCUUGACAUCCAUAAGAUUUAUUAGAGAUAAAAAAGUGCCUUUACCGGAAUUAUGAGACAGGUGCUGCGUGGCUGUCGUCAGCUCGUGUUGAGAAAUGUUGGGUUAAGUCGCGCAACGAGCGCAACCCUUGUUCUCUGUUGCCAUCAGGUUAUGCUGGGAACUCAGAGGAGACUGCCGGUUAUAAGCUGGAGGAAGGUGGGGACGACGUCAAGUCAUCAUGGCCCUUACGACCAGGGCUACACACGUGCUACAAUGGCAUAUACAAAGAGAAGCAAAUCUGCGAAGACAAGCAAAACUCAUAAAGUAUGUCUUAGUUCGGACUGGAGUCUGCAACUCGACUCCACGAAGUCGGAAUCGCUAGUAAUCGUGGAUCAGAAUGCCACGGUGAAUACGUUCCCGGGCCUUGUAAUCACCGCCCGUC
rnacentral:rRNA from 1 species